CCAAUAGCGUAUAUUAAAGUUGUUGCAGUUAAAGAGCUCGUAGUUGAAUUUCGGGAUUGACACAUCGGUCGUGCCUUAAGGGGUAUGAACUGGUGUAGUCAAUUUCUCACCUUCUGGAGAACCGCGAUGCCCUUAAUUGGGUGUCGCGGGGAACCAGGACCUUUACUUUGAAAAAAUUAGAGUGUUUAAAGCAGGCAUUUUGCUUGAAUACAUUAGCAUGGAAUAAUAAAAUAGGACGGCAUGAUUCUAUUUUGUUGGUUUCUAGGAUCACCGUAAUGAUUAAUAGGGAUAGUUGGGGGCAUUAGUAUUCAAUUGUCAGAGGUGAAAUUCUUGGAUUUAUUGAAGACUAACUACUGCGAAAGCAUUUGCCAAGGAUGUUUUCAUUAAUCAAGAACGAAAGUUAGGGGAUCGAAGACGAUCAGAUACCGUCGUAGUCUUAACCGUAAACUAUGCCGACUAGGAAUCAGACGAUGUUAAUUUUUUAAUGACUCGUUUGGCACCUUACG
rnacentral:rRNA from 1 species